GUUUGACAUGGCUAGUAUAGUUUCCAGAGAUGGAUUCUUUCAGUUCGGCUGGCUAGCACACAGGUGCUGCAUGGCUGUCGUCAGCUCGUGUCGUGAGAUGUUGGGUUAAGUCCCGCAACGAGCGCAACCCUCGCCUUUAGUUACCAUCAUUCAGUUGGGUACUCUAAAGGAACCGCCGGUGAUAAGCCGGAGGAAGGUGGGGAUGACGUCAAGUCCUCAUGGCCCUUACGCGCUGGGCUACACACGUGCUACAAUGGCAACUACAGUGGGCAGCAAUCCCGCGAGGGUGAGCUAAUCUCCAAAAGUUGUCUCAGUUCGGAUUGCACUCUGCAACUCGAGUGCAUGAAGGCGGAAUCGCUAGUAAUCGCGGAUCAGCAUGCCGCGGUGAAUACGUUCCCAGGCCUUGUACACACCGCCCGUCACACCAUGGGAGUUGGAUUCACCCGAAGGCGUUGCGCUAACCCGUAAGGGAGGCAGGCGACCACGGUGGGUUUAGCGACUGGGGUGA
rnacentral:rRNA from 1 species